GUGCUCGCUUCAGCAGCACAUAUACUAAAAUUGGAAUGAUACAGAGAAGACUAGCAUGGUCCUUGUGCAAGGAUGACACGCAAAUUCAUGAAGCAUUCCAUAUUUUU
rnacentral:snRNA from 1 species